rnacentral:rRNA from 1 species
AUACGAAGGGAGCUAGCGUUGUUCGGAAUUACUGGGCGUAAAGCGCACGGAGGCGGACUUGUUAGUCAGGGGUGAAAUCCCGGGGCCCAACCUCGGAACUGCCUUUGAUACUGCAAGUCUGGAGUCCGGAAGAGGUGGGUGGAAUUCCUAGUGUAGAGGUGAAAUUCGUAGAUAUUAGGAAGAACGCCGGUGGCGAAGGCGGCCCACUGGUCCGGUACUGACGCUGAGGUGCGAAAGCGUGGGGAGCAAACAGGAUUAGAAACCCCAGUAGUCC